GGAAACUCACGUGCCAGGAGCUCUCAGGUUUGGGAGUAUCCAUCUGAGUAUUUCAGGUACCAAAACCUUGGACAAAAAGAUAAAAUUGUCUUGCUACCUGAAUACUUAUUGUAAGAGCAGCACCUGUGGUAUGAAGCUUUGAAGGGAGAAUGUCUUUCCUUCUCUGGAGCUGCUCAGAACUGGUGGUGUUCAUUUUACCUUGGAGCUGAUCAGAUACCAGCCAAAUUGCUAAUUUUAAAUUAGAAAAUUAGAUCCUAACUGUAAAAGAACAAGUUUCAUUUUCUGUUUCAAGAGUUGUAUUCUGGAGAUAUUACAAAGUGCUGCCCGUGCCACCAGAGCUGCCUAUGAGCUGACAGAGGAUCACAGCCUCCUCACAUGGGUCCUGCGCAGCUUAGAGAAAAGGUUUCUGGAGAACAAGGUGAUAAAUUAAAUUAUUUCCUUACUGCAUACCAUAUGGCUAAUAAAUUUAGGAGACAAGAAAGAAAACAAGAAUCAAUCCCAGGAGAACAGGAAACUUCUUCCUAUUCAGCUUGUAAAUGAAUUUCUGUGUGUUUUGGUCACGUUAAUCAAACAUGUUCAGUAAGUCCUUUGUUUUGUUUUUUUGUUUUAGUUGGUUUGCAUUUCAUCCUCUGUCCAGUUUGAACUUUAUUAAGGCCAGGAGGAUUUCUUUAUCUCUGCUAGAUGGAUGGCUUUUUUACCUUCAGUUUCUGUGUUGAGUAGUGAAUUUGGAUGAGAUUUCUUUGACUGGAAGAUUUAGGUGUUUGAAUAAAUGGGCAAUAAAGUAAAAUGUUGUAAACAUAAAUGGGCAAUAAAGUAAAAUACACAGUUGCUGUCAAGUUCUUUGUCCUUAAUUCCUGGCCAUUCUGACAGUAGGGAUUAAGAGCUGUAGUGAUGGAUUUGCACACAUGGCACUUGUGUUUUCCUUUGCCAGGACUAAUGGAGAUCUGGCCAAGCUGAAUGAGUUGUUCAGCACCCUCAGCCCCCUGCUGCAAUACCGUGCUGUUGUUGUGGAGGCUUUUAGGGGGAUGAGGUGUUUCAGGGUCAACAACAGCAUCCUCCAGCAGGGAGCUGCUGCUGCUGCACAAGUGGAGCUUUGUCAGCCAAGACCUGCAGCUGCAGGAGAACCUGCAAGCCCUGGCUCAGAAGGACCAAAACAAAGAAUUGCUCAGUAAGUGCUGAAAUACUUCAGGGAAGGUAUAUUUUGUUGUAGCUGUUGCAGGCCAGCAGUUCAAAUGAGGCAAACUUCUCUGGAAGUAGUACUAACACCUUCUGUCUGACUGAUGUACCUUGAGGGAGGAGGAAAGGAAAUGGAAAGGCAUUUUUCAGAUCUUCCUUGUGGUGAUUUUGAACCUUGACACAGUUUGGAAACUUUGGAGAAGCACAGUUUGUGAAGGGAAAGAGCUUUAAAAUUAAACUUAGUGGCAAAUCUUGAGUCAGGCUUUGAAAAAGGGUAUUCUUUAAUGAAAUCUUAAAAGAAAAAGCAGUGCCUGGAGGCUUUGUGCUCAAAGGUGUGAAUCGUGCUGAGCGUGGAUGGGGAUCUGAAAAUGAUGUGUAAGUAAAAACAAUAAAUAAAUAAAGCAAGCAAAAGUUAAUAGUUGGCAUCUCGUCACCAAUUUUGAAGAAAGUAGAAAAAACCAGGACUUGUGUGUCUAGUUGUUCCUGUGACCAAAAAGUUCAAGGAACUUGAGAGUGGGAGGUCUUAAAACAACACUGGUUUCCUGCAGCAGCAGCUGCUUUAAGUGCACAUUAAAGCUUCUGUAGGUUUGUUUAAAUGUUCUGUAUCAGUUAAGAAAUCAUGUAUUUAAGGGAUUCUGUAAAAGCUUUAGCUUUUCUACAGUUUUUCCACCCUUUAAAACUCCUCAGAAAUACAUGAAUAGGGUCUGUGGAGUGAUGCCUGUAGCUUAGUGCAUGUGUGGGUUGUGUUGCUCCAGGCUUCAGGAGCUUCUCUCAUGCCCAGGCUGGGCGAUCCCAUUUGGAACAAGGUUCCCUGAGAGCUCCUGGAGCCCCCUUGAACAGCGCAGGCUCCAUCAGGCUGCUAAACGAGGCUGCUACUUGCCAUUGUAACAACUGAAUCGACACAGGAGAGCACCUUACUUGCACAAUUUUGUUCCAGGAAAAUCCUUUGGAGUAUCUGAUGUUUGUUUUGGUGGUGGUUAUCUUCUUACAGAAAAUAUUAAAGACAAGAACAAACCUCAAGCCUCAUCUCAUGUGUAUCGUCACACUCGGAAAAAGAACGGGCUGGAAGAAGAUGACACCGCUGCAGACAUGGAAGCGUCUGAGCUGGAGAAAUGCAGAGAACAUCUGAAUUCCAUACUUGCCCAUUGGGACUGUGAUAAAUGGAUGUGAUUUGUGCUGAAUAAGUUUUACUUAUAUCAAUAAUUUGGGAAAAUAAUUGGAAAAGUAUAUGUGAUUAUUGUUAUGAAGCAGAUGGGUGUCUUCAAGAAUAUGGAAAGUUGGAUGCAGGAGUUGGAUUCAGCCUUGGGAAUGGAGGAAGUCAGGAACUGACUCCCAAACCAAAACUGGCAUCAACUGAAGAUAAAAGAUACCUCCCAGAGCAGGACUGACUUUGAAUAUGAAUAAAAUUGGGACCAUUCCAGAUAGGGAACCUAAAAUAGUGGUCUUUUCUAUGAAAUAAUAAGGCUCAAUUGGAACAUAAUGCAUCAAGCUCAAUGUGCAUGCACAACCUGCCAUGUCAUUCAGAAGGACCUUCGGCCUUCCUCCAAGAAGACCCCCAAAGAGACCAGAAGACCCCUUAACAACAAUGGGAGCAUGUGCUGUGCAGUAGGGUGACGUAGAUUUCAAGAAUCAAAAAUAGGAGGAACUAUUGCUGACUAUGUAUUAGCAUACAGUAUAAAAGUUGUGCUUGGAUUCUUUUGCCCUUUGUACAGAUGGCAGGGUGGAAAGCCCUCCCCGUACCCCGACUGGUUUCGCUUACGCUUUAUCUGAACCACUGCCAAAUAACUCUUUGUAGCCACUUCAUUAUAUUUGAUUGUACCCCAAUUAAAAAUUGCUGCUAAAUUUCAA